UGGGGAAUAUUGCACAAUGGGGGAAACCCUGAUGCAGCGACGCCGCGUGAAGGAAGAAGUAUCUCGGUAUGUAAACUUCUAUCAGCAGGGAAGAUAGUGACGGUACCUGACUAAGAAG
rnacentral:rRNA from 1 species